rnacentral:rRNA from 1 species
CCUACGGGCGGCAGCAGUGGGGAAUAUUGCACAAUGGGGGGAACCCUGAUGCAGCGACGCCGCGUGGGUGAAGGAGUAUUUCGGUAUGUAAAGCCCUAUCAGCAGGGAAGAACAAUGACGGUACCUGACUAAGAAGCACCGGCUAAAUACGUGCCAGCAGCCGCGGUAAUACGUAUGGUGCAAGCGUUAUCCGGAUUUACUGGGUGUAAAGGGAGCGCAGGCGGCGCGUUAAGCCUGGUGUGAAAGUCCGCGGCCCAACCGCGGGACUGCAUUGGGAACUGGCGCGCUGGAGUGCCGGAGGGGUAGGCGGAAUUCCUAGUGUAGCGGUGAAAUGCGUAGAUAUUAGGAGGAACACCAGUGGCGAAGGCAGCAUACCGGCGCUCAACUGACGCUCAUGCACGAAAGUGUGGGUAUCGAACAGGAUUAGAUACCCCUGUAGUC